CUACGGGGUGCAGCAGUGGGGAAUAUUGGACAAUGGGGGAAACCCUGAUCCAGCAAUGCCGCGUGUGUGAAGAAGGCCUGCGGGUUGUAAAGCACUUUCGGUUGGGAGGGCUGCUUCUAGCACUAAUAUUGUUGGAAGUUGACGUUACCUUCAGAAGAAGCACCGGCUAACUCCGUGCCAGCAGCCGCGGUAAUACGGAGUGCAAGCGUUAAUCGGAAUUACUGGGCGUAAAGCGCGCGUAGGCGGCUAGAUCAGUCGGGUGUGAAAGCCCCGGGCUUAACCUGGGAACUGCAUCCGAUACUGUCUAGCUUGAGUACAGGAGAGGAGAGUGGAAUUCCACAUGUAGCGGUGAAAUGCGUAGAUAUGUGGAGGAACACCAAUGGCGAAGGCAGCUCUCUGGCCUGAUACUGACGCUGAGGUGCGAAAGCGUGGGGAGCAAACAGGAUUAGAUACCCGAGUAGUC
rnacentral:rRNA from 1 species